rnacentral:piRNA from 1 species
UAGAAAUUCUUAUUGAGAACUUUCUGG